CAACUCUUUCUAUAUAUGCAGUCCAAUCGUCGCGUGUUUCAUAAUCAAUUGAAACUGAACCCAUAAUCAAUUGUUUAUAAUCCUCGUCGCCAAUGUAGUGUUUUUCGAUAUUGAUUGUGUUUUUAAUAUCAUGUCCAAAACAACUGUCAUGCCUCGUGGUGAUGACCCUAAAGCAUCAUAGGUCAUGCACCACAGUAAGUGUGACAUAUCUAGCGUAAAACAUUCGCGAUACCUAUCUUUAUUGACGGAUUGCCCCUGUAUAACCUCUCAAAUAACCAAUUGUGCUCUGCCGAAAUUUGUAAACACAAACAAUGAUUAAGAAUGCUAUAUGACAUAAAAAAUUAUAUUCAUAUUCUGUUAAUUAUUAACUUUGAGAAUUUUAAUGAAACUUAAUUGUUUUAAAAUGUUAUUAGAUCUUCUGUGAACGAAAUGGAGCUGAAAUACUUCGUUCGCAGAGCAUUCUAUCCCCUGUACUUGAUAUACAAUGAUGUUAUGGCAUAUGGGGCCCAGACAAUCACUUUCAGACGUUGUUGCAUUGGGACACAUGUAGUUUUAUGAUUGUAAGUGGAUCAUUACAGUAUUUUACACACGAUACCACUCCUCUCCUCUAAGGUGACACUGACCCCUCGUCCUGUUUUUCAAGGUGACUUUUCCAAUUUAUUUAAUUCCGAGUAGAAAUGUCUGGGAAAAUUUAUGUCUUCGAUGUACUUUAUAAUCAUUGGAAUUCUGCAAGAUUUCACCCCCAAAAUGCUUGAAAUCGCAUUUCAGGGACUCUAGAUUUCAAAAUGUUUCCUGGGGGUCAUGCCCCCGAACCCCCCUAGACG